rnacentral:rRNA from 1 species
GACGAACCGUGCGAACGUUGUUCGGAAUCACUGGGCUUAAAGGGCACGUAGGCGGCUCGGCAAAUCGGUCGUGGAAUCCCGACGCUUACCGUCGGAACGGCGGCCGAAAAUACCGGGCUCGAGGGCGUGAGGGGUCACUGGAACUCCUGGUGAAGCGGUGAAAUGCGUAGAUAUCAGGAGGAACGCCGGAGGCGAAAGCGAGUGACUGGCGCGUUCCUGACGCUGAGACGCGAAAGCGUGGGGAGCGAACAGG